UCACGCAUCUUAUUGUUUUUAUUUUAUGAGUAUCUAUAUUACCUAUAAACUAUUCAAAAGCAAUUUAUUUUCGUCGAGUCUUCCACUGGGUCUGUUUGUUGAACAAGUCAAUCGAUCAAGCAACAGUACAAAAUGAUACCUAUGAAAGUUGUCAUGCUUUUGUUGGCUUUUUUACACAUCUCGCACACCUUGCCUGACUUAAUCAAACAAGACUUUGAAAAAAUAGGCAACCAUUUGAAAACAUGCCAAUGCUCAGAUGGCUCUGGAAGAAUGGGAAUUCCACGAUGUAUUCAUGUGGAUACCAACCUGUGACUCACGAGAAACUUUGUGGAUAUAUAAUAUAUGAUUUAGUUUGCUGCACCAAACAAUGAAUCUACUAUUAUAAAUAAAGUACAUUGUACUGAAAGUAUAAAUUAAUCAUGAAGUUUUUUUCUCAUUGUUUGAUAAUAAAAUAUUAUGUCGUUUGUGAUAAA